CGGGGCUGGGCUGCUGAGGUGGCAUCUCAGAUGAGGCAGAGGCACCGGGAGGCUCCAAGAGGGACUAGACCUGUGAGAGGGGCUAGGGGUCGAUCCUGAACCAUCACAUAUUAAUAUCCAGGGACUGAUACAGCAUCCGUCACUGUCCUGUCAGAGAGGUGAAGUCCAGUUACUAUAAGCAGCAGCAUGAUGGUACCCCUCAGCAUUGGUAAAGACAUGAUGUAGAGAAUAAUUCAGCAGCUGCAGAACAAUUUUGAAUUGAUUUUCACUGUCUUUUGGUUAAAAAAAAAAAAAGCAAAAUAAACUUAGGGAGUCAUGAAGUAAAUAGAUGCAUUGAUUUCAUGCACAAGCAAGAAACUGGUAACUACCAGUGUUCAAGCAAGCAGCUACCACCCUGGAAAACACAGCUUCACUAACAACUCUAACCUUCUCUAACAACACUGAGCCCACCAUUCUGGGUGCAUCUCAGCAAGAAGGGCUAUGUCCUGUUUGAGCUGCUCUUCAGUAGCGAAUGGGAGGCUCAAGGUUGGCUUUACAGUAGAACAGCACCCUCAGGAAUACCUCCAAGAAAUUCUUAGGGUGCACCAAGAGAUGCCAGGCACCAGCCAGAACCCAGGAAGAAGAGUGGCCACGAGGUGCUGGCUGGAGGUAACUGAGCUAGUGUUCAAUCCUCCGCUUCUUGCUCAUCGCAGGACUGGUCAAGCCUGAAGCACAAGGCUGUUUCUACAACAAUAACAAAACAAUUCAUUAAUCUCUGACCCAGAUCAGGUUUUGCUCCCAUUCUAAAAAAGUAGGAUUUGUGAACUGACAAAGGUUGAAAACACAUGUUCUUUAAAUAAAAAUAGCUGUCGAACA